rnacentral:tRNA from 1 species
UCUAAUAUGGCAGAAUAUAUGCAAAGGAUUUAAGCCCCUUUUAUAAAGGCCCCCCCCUUUUUUUAGAA